AUGAACGCUGGCGGCGUGCUUCACACAUGCAAGUCGAACGGAAAGGCUCCUGCUUGCAGGGGUACUCGAGUGGCGAACGGGUGAGUAACACGUGGGUGAUCUGCCCUGCACUUCGGGAUAAGCCUGGGAAACUGGGUCUAAUACCGGAUAGGACGAUGGUUUGGAUGCCAUUGUGGAAAGUUUUUCGGUGUGGGAUGAGCUCGCGGCCUAUCAGCUUGUUGGUGGGGUAAUGGCCUACCAAGGCGUCGACGGGUAGCCGGCCUGAGAGGGUGUACGGCCACAUUGGGACUGAGAUACGGCCCAGACUCCUACGGGAGGCAGCAGUGGGGAAUAUUGCACAAUGGGCGCAAGCCUGAUGCAGCGACGCCGCGUGGGGGAUGACGGCCUUCGGGUUGUAAACUCCUUUCGCUAGGGACGAAGCGUUUUGUGACGGUACCUGGAGAAGAAGCACCGGCUAACUACGUG
rnacentral:rRNA from 1 species